rnacentral:rRNA from 1 species
GCUUCAUUAAAUUAUAUGAGGUAAAGCCUGCUCAAUGCGAAAGUAAAUAGCCGCAGUACUCUGACUGUGCAAAGGUAGCAUAAUAAAUUGGUCUUUAAUUGAGAUCUGGAAUGAACGGCUUGACAAGGAUUUAACUGUCUCAGUAUAAUUAAUUUGAAAUUAAAUUGUCUGUAAAAAUGCUGACAUGAGGGAGAGGGACGAGAAGACCCUAUAGAUCUUUGAAUAUUUUCUUAAUAGAUUAUCAAUAUUAAAGGAAUAUUUUAUUUGGGGAAAAUCCUGAAAUUUUUAAACUUCGGUUAAAAAAAAAUUAGAUGAUUAAUUUUUGAUCCAUUUAUGAAUGAAAAAAUGAAAAAGUUACCUUAGGGAUAACAGGACAAUGACUUCUUUGAAGAUCUUAUUUUUAGAAGCGUUUGUUACCUCGAUGUUGAAUUAAGUUAUCUCAUAAAAGGAGAAAUUUAUGAAGUUGGUCUGUUCGACCAUUAAAAAC